rnacentral:tRNA from 1 species
GCACCUUUAGCUCAGUUGGUAGAGCAACUGACUCUUAAUCAGUGGGUCCUGGGUUCGAGUCCCCGAAGGUGCACCA